GGGGAAUCUUGCACAAUGGGCGAAAGCCUGAUGCAGCAACGCCGCGUGCGGGAAGAAGGCCCUAGGGUUGUAAACCGCUUUCAGUAGGGAAGAAAAUGACGGUACCUAUAGAAGAAGGUGCGGCCAACUACGUGCCAGCAGCCGCGGUGACACGUAGGCACCAAGCGUUGUCCGGAUUUAUUGGGCGUAAAGAGCUCGUAGGCGGUUCAGUAAGUCGGGUGUGAAAACUCAGGGCUCAACCCUGAGAUGCCAUUCGAUACUGCUGUGACUUGAGUAUGGUAGGGGAGCGGGGAAUUCCUGGUGUAGCGGUGAAAUGCGCAGAUAUCAGGAGGAACACCAGUGGCGAAGGCGCCGCUCUGGGCCAUUACUGACGCUGAGGAGCGAAAGCGUGGGUAGCAAAC
rnacentral:rRNA from 1 species